rnacentral:rRNA from 1 species
AAACUUAAAGGAAUUGACGGGGACCCGCACAAGCAGCGGAGCGUGUGGUUUAAUUCGUUGCUACACGAAGAACCUUACCUGGGUUUGACAUAUAGGUUGUAGGGAACUGAAAAGGGACCGACCCUUCGGGGAGCCUAUACAGGUGUUGCAUGGCUGUCGUCAGCUCGUGUCGUGAGAUGUUCGGUUAAGUCCGCUAACGAGCGCAACCCUCGUCGUAUGUUAUAUGUGUCAUACGAGACUGCCGGUAAAAAGCCGGAGGAAGGUGAGGAUGAUGUCAAGUCAGCAUGACCUUUAUAUCCAGGGCUACACACACGCUACAAUGGUCUGUACAAUGGGUAGCCAAGCCGCGAGGCGGAGCCAAUCCUGAAAGCAGGCCUCAGUUCAGAUUGCAGUCUGCAACUCGACUGCAUGAAGCCGGAGUUGCUAGUAACCGCAGGUCAGCAAUACUGCGGUGAAUACGUUCCCGGGUCUU